rnacentral:rRNA from 1 species
ACACCGGCAGCCCUAGUGGUGGCCGCUUUUAUUGGGCCUAAAGCGUCCGUAGCCGGACAGGCGAGUCUUUGGGUAAAUCCUACGUCUUAAGCGUGGGAAUUCUAAAGAUACUACCUGUCUUGAGGCCGGGAGAGGCUGGAGGUACUCCUGGGGUAGGGGUAAAAUCCUAUAAUCCUGGGGGGACCACCGAUGGCGAAGGCAUCCAGCUGGAACGGGCCUGACGGUGAGGGACGAAACCCAGGGGAGCGAGCCGGAUUAGAUACCCGGGUAGUCCUGGGCGUAAAUGAUGUGGGCUUGGUGUGAGCGCAUCGACGAGGUGCGCUUGUGCCGUAGGGAAGCCGUUAAGCCCACCGCCUGGGGAGUACGGUCGCAAGGCUGAA